GAAAUAGUGUUCAGUACUUGUCAGUGUCACCAGCAGUUGCUCUUUCAGACUCACUGGUUUGCAGAUUGACAUGGGGAAGAGCUGAUGUGGGAGCCUUAUCGACACGUGAUCUACCACGUUCCAACUGCACAGGAUGCCUGACUGGGCAGGAGGACAUGUGCCUGUUAGUGGCUGGUUUGGGUGCUUUCCAAAGAAAUAGGGAAGGACAGAGUGCAGUUUUGAAGGACCAAGAUGCUGUGGAGCAUCCUUCAUGCAAGCAUUUCUAAGAGCAGUCGUAGAGAAACAUCUGUGAUGCAUGGACUUCAUCCUGCUUUGCUGCUGGAAGACAGGCUGGGAGCUCCCUUUUAGGCAUUUUGGAAGACCUGCUUCUUCUACAGCUGAAGAGGACUUUAGCACAACAAUUACUAUCAAGUAGCUUAUAUGCAAACUUCUUGUGCUUCUGCAUGAAAGCAAUUCCAAACAGACCAAAAUUGCUGUGAUGAGUGUCUCAUUUGGAGAAAAAGAAACCAGAAGAACUGACUUGUCCAGAUGCCAUAAUUUUGGGAUGGUUUUAUGAGAUGAAUUCAGAACUGGAUGAUACUUCAGGAUUAGAGAUGACGAUGCAAAAAGGUUUAAAGGAAGAGACAAUACUGUAUGUCACCAGUUCAAUUUAUAAGCAACAAGGGGAAUGCUUAUAGCUGUUGGUAUUAGCCAAAAAGUGCUCUCUGUACUAAAAAAUUUGGGAAGCAAAGAGAUUCCUGCAAAUUUAGGUGGAGAGUUGAACAGAGAAAUACAAGAGUUAUUAUUACUGGCUCGUAUUUUUUUUAUCAAGGUUUUGAAAGUGAAACCAUCCAGAGGUUUAUAGCAAAGGUUGCAAUUUUGGCCUAAAGA